GCAGUCGCCGCGGGAAUACGAAGGGUGCAAGCGCUAAUCGGAAUUACUGGGCGUAAAGCGUGCGUAGGCGGUGAGUUAAGUCUGCUGUGAAAUCCCCGGGCUCAACCUGGGAAUGGCAGUGGAUACUGGCUCGCUAGAGUGUGUCAGAGGAUGGUGGAAUUCCCGGUGUAGCGGAGAAAUGCGUAGAGAUCGGGAGGAACAUCAGUGGCGAAGGCGGCCAUCUGGGCCAAUACUGACGCUCAUGCACGAAAGCGUGGGGAGCAAACAGGAUUAGAUACCCCAGUAGUCCCUGUCUCUUAUAA
rnacentral:rRNA from 1 species